AUCAGUCAAAAUUAAGAAGCUUUUUCUACUUCAUUACCUACUUAAAUUUAACCUUUAAAUUGUUAUUAUAAUAUUUCUCAAUGAAAGCUUCAAACAUUUAUUUUUCAUCCAUUGAAGUUUUUGUGGAUAGAAAUUAGUCAAAUGUGCAAUUUUUAUCAUAUCAAGAGUACAAAGUUCAAUUUAGUGAAAUCAUAAGUUUUGAAGGUUUCAUCAAGUGCGAUCAAA
rnacentral:lncRNA from 1 species